CAGGACGGGGACAACAGGUGGAAACGACUGCUAAUACCCGAUAUGCCGCAAGGUGAAACCUAAUUGGCCUGGAGAAGAGCUUGCGUCUGAUUAGCUAGUUGGUGGGGUAAGAGCCUACCAAGGCGACGAUCAGUAGCUGGUCUGAGAGGAUGAGCAGCCACACUGGGACUGAGACACGGCCCAGACUCCUACGGGAGGCAGCAGUGGGGAAUUUUCCGCAAUGGGCGAAAGCCUGACGGAGCAACGCCGCGUGAGGGAGGAAGGUCUUUGGAUUGUAAACCUCUUUUCUCAAGGAAGAAGUUCUGACGGUACUUGAGGAAUCAGCCUCGGCUAACUCCGUGCCAGCAGCCGCGGUAAUACGGGGGAGGCAAGCGUUAUCCGGAAUUAUUGGGCGUAAAGCGUCCGCAGGUGGUCAGCCAAGUCUGCCGUCAAAUCAGGUUGCUUAACGACCUAAAGGCGGUGGAAACUGGCAGACUAGAGAGCAGUAGGGGUAGCAGGAA
rnacentral:rRNA from 1 species